GGGAACAUGAACCGUGAUUGGAAAACGGUAAGGUAGCGCCUUGCAUAUCGGCGAAGGUUCUAGAGAAGUAGUCGUAUGCUGUGUCGGUUCGAUUCCGACUGUUCCUA
rnacentral:tRNA from 1 species